UAACACGUAAACAACCUGCCUUCAGGAUGGGGACAACAGACGGAAACGACUGCUAAUACCGAAUAAGUUCCAAGGGCCGCAUGGCCCAUGGAAGAAAAGGUGGCCUCUACCUGUAAGCUAUCGCCUGAAGAGGGGUUUGCGUCUGAUUAGCUGGUUGGAGGGGUAACGGCCCACCAAGGCGACGAUCAGUAGCCGGUCUGAGAGGAUGAACGGCCGCACUGGAACUGAGACACGGUCCAG
rnacentral:rRNA from 1 species